AGGAAGGAAGGAAGGAAGAAGAGAAAGUUACGCCUAAAUAACGUAGAGGAAGAUCGACAGUUUCUCUAUUUAUUUAUUGGACGGUAGCUGAGAGAGGAGGAGGAGGAAGACAAGUACUAUAUAUGGUUGAUUGGUUGAUCAAGGUGGUGGCUGUUCUUGGCGUGCGCCAUGGACGUCGAUCCCAUGCCUAAACAAGCUUUCAAGAUCUGUCUACAGCUUUGGUUGGAAGCUUCUCUACUUGCUGAUGGACUGGCAGUGGAAGACCAGGCAAUAAUCUCUGUGUCGUUUUCCAAAGGGGAAAAUGCUGAGGUUGUUUCUGCUAUAGGUCGAGUGUUGCAGGUACCAUCCAUGCAUUAACUUUUUCUCUCUUUAGUUUUUAAUUCCUUCAUAUGGAAG